GCCUCUCCAUUUUGUCAAGCAAUUUCUUCUUCCAUCUCAACAAAACACCAUUGCUGAGUGAAUACCAUAGCAUGCAGUUAUACAGGCAUGGUUGUGCCAGGCAUGCUGCAAAAUGGCAGCUGGAACAGAAGAAUUUUUGCUGUGAUGUCCUCCAGUUGUCCUCUGCUGAAAUCUGAGCUAUCAUGCUGAGGUGCAGAAGACAAAAGAAAGGAAAAAAAAAAACAACAUUGAUACAUUAUUCAUUAUUCAUGCCAGAGAAAGAGAGAGGCAGUGAUGGAGAAAAGAGAAGACAAGGCUUCUCCUUCAAGAGGAUGUUCCAGAUGCAGUACCCUGCAGGUGGUGAUUUGCUGAGACUCUGAAUAUAACUUCUCACACCAAAGAGUGGCAGCAUUUCCUUGUUAUCUAUUGUUUCUGGAGAUAGACCAACAAGGUGACACUCAAGCAGGAAUGGAGCACUGUCUCGAUACUGCGACGGUAACAAUAAGGAAACUGAGAAAUGAACGUGAAGAACUCAGGAUUCUCAGUAAAAACAGGAGGCAUAGGCACACCAACACAGCACAGGGAAUUUGAAUAGAGAAUACAUUUUAAGAGGGUUUUCUAUUAUUGUCAACUAAAUUUAGGAUGUUGAUCUGCUUUGCUCACAAAUAGUUAAUGAAACAGGGGCAUGCAACUUUACUUUUUACAAGAAAUUAAGAAGUAUAAGGGUUACAUAACGGAGGAAGGAAAUGAACAUCUGUGGCUUCAUGGUGCUUUUUACACAUAAGAAAAUUAUUUGGGGGAUUUGUUGCUUACAGACAUCUGCUUAGCAGUGAUGCCAGAGCCAGCCAGCCUCAUUAGCUUUGACAGAUGACCAAUACCACCUAAUAGCCUUGAUUCUGACAGACAGAUCAUUUGCUUCAGCCAUAUAAAAUCUAUCUAAAUAAUUGAUAAAAACAGACAUAUGUACAAAAUAAAAAAUUGAAACAGGCUUUUGAAUGCUGAAACUUAAACCCAUUUAGGUGUUGAAUUUGGCAUGGAACAAUGGUCACAAUUUAGACUUGCAGGAAAUAAGACCCAUGUGGCUUACCUUCCUGCUUUUGGGGCAUAAUCAGAUAAUCUUUUGCCUAUAUAGUUGGAAUGACCAAAGCAAUGACCACACAGGUGCUUGUUACUGCCUCAGUGCUGAAAAAGCAAGGAACUUCAAUAUGUAGUCAUCUUUUUUUAUAACCUGUUUGGAGUUGCCUAAUUUGUUCUGUCAUUAAGUUUUUAGUUUCAGUCUUGUAAAUGAAGUAGAUAUAUCAAGCAGUAACUAUGUUUAAUUUCUGCUAUCCACCCAUGAAUAAUAAGCUAUUCCCCAACAAUGAAAAUAUAAUGGAAGAACUAUGAAUUACAACUGAUUGUGGUUAAACUGAUUUUUAUUUCUCAGAAAUACCUUUUGAAAACACUUCAGAACUUGCACCCAUGAUUUAUUCAGUUGUGAUUCUGUUUUGCUGAUGCAUUUGCAUAUUUUCCUUCACGUUUAAUGAUUUAGUAUCAUGUUUUGUUGUUUUUUUUUUUUUCCAGUUUAAAUGAAUAACUGAAACUUGUUCAGUAUUUACAUUUCACUGCUGUAUACCUCAAAUCAUUUUACUGGUAUUCAAUCUAAUGAUGUAAUGUUAUGAGUUCUCACUUUCAUGAAUAUUAAUAGAAAUGGAAAAUGCUUCAAAUGAUCUACAAGUUUUCAAAAAUUAAAUAUUUGGAGAAAAACUCAUAAUGAAAGCAGUAUUUGCCUUGAAAUACCUACUCUUAGGAAGAAAUUGAUAAUAAUGUCAAAAAUAGACAUCAAGUGUGAGACUACAAUUUGAAUUAUACUCAUCAAUUAAAGUCCACGUCAGGUUCUAAAAGCUAAUUUUUAAUAUAGUUUCUUUAUAUUCAUUUUGUGAUUUUUUUUUCCCCUCUGUCAAAGGGUAACCUUGCAAGCCACAACCUCAGUGCUGCAAAUCAGCAUGUAUGGGUUCACUGACAUCUGUAAAUGUAACAGUUUUCAUUAGCAAAUGACUAAGCCCAGUUCUCCAGAGGAUGCUGUGGUGUACCAACAGCCCUGAGAAUAUAUCUUCUUCCACAAACUCAAGAAAUC
rnacentral:lncRNA from 1 species